GAUGAGCCUGAAGACAUCCAUCACGGAUCUGACUGGCAAUAUCUGCAACAGCACCAGGGCCAUGAGGGAGGAAAAUUGCUGAAGAUUUGGAUGUUGAACCGAUCUCUUUCAUAGUGUCAAAGUACUGCGUCAGCAGGACUAAAUCCAUCACAUCCUUAGCUGAAGUCCCAGGAACAUUGCCAGAGAAGCCAAGUACACUGUCUCUUAGCCCAUCAACUAUAGCCUGCCGCUGCCUUGCAAUACCAAGCCCAGACAGAUACUUGGCUUCAGCCUCUCCCUCGGCCCUCUUGAUCUGAAUGAUCUUCUCUGCCUCUGCCUUCUCAUUUGCUGCAACACGUAGCCUUGCAGCUG
rnacentral:sRNA from 1 species